rnacentral:lncRNA from 1 species
GGUGGAGUUGCCAAGAGGCGCAAACAAAGAACGCAAUCAUGCGAUCUGUGAGUGCAACGAGGAAAACGCGGCUGCUUCGGAUGAAAAAAGUAUCUGAGAAGCCUGCAGAAAGUGACCACGCUUCCAGCAACCCAAUCCCGUGUCCUGGCGCACUUCAUGAACUGAAGGCAAUUGAGGACAUGGUCACAGAUCCCUUUUGUAUGGACCUUGGGCGAAUAAAAAUGCUUUUGACCGCAACUGCACAGGCCCGCAGCUCCAAUGCACCAGAUGAUUUGCCG